rnacentral:rRNA from 1 species
CAAGUCGAGCGAGAAAAGGGGGGCAACUCCCUGAGUAAAGCGGCGAACGGGUGAGUAACACGUAGGUAAUCUACCCUCGAGCCUGAGAUAACCUACCGAAAGGUGGGCUAAUACUGGAUAUGACCACGGGAGUUUCGGCUCCUGCGGUGAAAGGUGGCCUCUGCUUGCAAGCUACCACUCGUGUGAUGAGCCUGCGCGCCAUUAGCUUGUUGGCGGGGUAACGGCCCACCAAGGCGAUGAUGGCUAGCUGGUCUUAGAGGAUGGCCAGCCACACUGGAACUGGAACACGGUCCAGACUCCUACGGGAGGCAGCAGUGGGGGAUAUUGCGCAAUGGGCGAAAGCCUGACGCAGCGACGCCGCGUGGGUGAUGAAGGCCUUCGGGUCGUAAAGCCCUGUCGAGGGGGACGAAACGGUUCCGACCCAACACGUCGGAGCCCUGACGGUACCCCUAAAGGAAGCACCGGCUAACUCCGUGCCAGCAGCCGCGGUAAUACGGAGGGUGCAAGCGUUGUUCGGAAUCACUGGGCGUAAAGGGCGUGUAGGCGGUCCGCUAAGUCUGAUGUGAAAGCCCGGGGCUCACCCCCGGAAGUGCAUUGGAAACUGACGGACUCGAGUCCCGGAGAGGAGGGUGGAAUUCCUGGUGUAGCGGUGAAAUGCGUAGAUAUCAGGAGGAACACCGGUGGCGAAGGCGGCCCUCUGGACGGUGACUGACGCUGAGACGCGAAAGCGUGGGGAGCAAACAGGAUUAGAUACCCUGGUAGUCCACGCUGUAAACGAUGAGCACUAGGUGUCGCGGGUAUUGACCCCUGCGGUGCCGCAGCUAACGCACUAAGUGCUCCGCCUGGGGACUAC